rnacentral:rRNA from 1 species
GUGGGGAAUAUUGGACAAUGGGGGCAACCCUGAUCCAGCAAUGCCGCGUGCAGGAAGAAGGCCUUCGGGUUGUAAACUGCUUUUGUACGGAACGAAACGGUCUGGGUUAAUACCCUGGGCUAAUGACGGUACCGUAAGAAUAAGCACCGGCUAACUACGUGCCAGCAGCCGCGGUAAUACGUAGGGUGCGAGCGUUAAUCGGAAUUACUGGGCGUAAAGCGUGCGCAGGCGGUUUUGUAAGACAGUCGUGAAAUCCCCGGGCUCAACCUGGGAAUGGCGCUUGUGACUGCAAAGCUGGAGUGCGGCAGAGGGGGAUGGAAUUCCGCGUGUAGCAGUGAAAUGCGUAGAUAUGCGGAGGAACACCGAUGGCGAAGGCAAUCCCCUGGGCCUGCACUGACGCUCAUGCACGAAAGCGUGGGGAGCAAACAGGAUUAGAAACCCCGGUAGUCC